rnacentral:RNase_P_RNA from 1 species
CCCGCGCAUCGCUCCGCCGUUCUUUUCCGCAAGGGAAAGGGAGGAAAGUCCGGGCAGCAAAGGGCACCGUGCUUCCUAACGGGAAGGGGCGCCACUGGUGACGGUGGCGCUACGGAAAGUGCCACAGAAAGGGAAACCGCCGAUCGUUGAAGUUGAAGUGGAGGCCCGCCUUCGCAACGGCUUCGGCGAGGCAAGGGUGAAAAGGUGGAGUAAGAGCCCACCAGUGCUUCGUGUGAGCGGGGCAGCUUGGUAAACCCUACGGGCUGAAAGACCAAAUAAGCCGGGGAUCCCGUCUUCGGGCGGGAUAAGGGCGGCCCGCCUGAUCCCGGCGGGUAGGUCGAUCGAGGUUACGCGUGAGCGUGAUCCCAGAUAGAUGGCGGAGCCUUCAUUGCCGCAAGGCAGCGGAGGACAGGAUCCGGCUUACAGGUGCGCGGGUAUU